AUUGAACGCUGGCGGCAGGCUUAAUACAUGCAAGUCGAACGAGUGGCGGACGGGUGAGUAAUGUCUGAGAAACUGCCCGAUGGCGGGGGAUAAUUACUGGAAACGGUAGCUAAUACCGCAUACCAUCGACUGUUCCCUGAUGGCAUUAGCUAGUAGGUGGGUGAACGGCUUACCAAGGCCACGAUCCCUAGCUGGUCGGAGAGGAGGAACGGCCACACUGGAACUGAGACACGGUCCAGACUCCUACGGGAGGCAGCAGUGGGGAAUCUUGCACAAUGGGCGAAAGCCUGAUGGAGCAACGCCGCGUGUGUGAAGAAGGCCUUCGGGUCGUAAAGUUCUUUUAGUGGGGAAGCGUUACUCGCAGAAGAAGCCCCGGCUAACUCCGUGCCAGCAGCCGCGGUAAUUC
rnacentral:rRNA from 1 species